rnacentral:lncRNA from 1 species
UUUAGUUGUCCCUUGAGGAGAGGAGCACAAAUCAAGAAGGCUUUCAGGGGUGUUGUUCCGUUUCAACUGACCAGGUUUCUGCUCAUGAGAUGUGAACCUCAACUGAUUUGUACCAAGUUGUGGAAGAGUGAUUGCUUGUAUUUCUGCUAGAAAGUUUUUGCAGGAUAAAGGACACCAAAGUCCAAGCAAAUAUUUCUGCAUUUUCCUGGCCGUCCCUUGCUCUACUUUCCUUCCUCUCUCCCGUCCCACGCGGGAUUUCCGGACGAAGCCUUCUUCCUCGGUCCCUGCUCACACACAGCAAAGCCACGACCAAUGACUUUCUUAAGGAAGAAAGUGGCGCUUCACCAAGUUCGGCCUUUCCCAGUUCUGACAUUUUGGCAAAUGCCAGCUACGCGCCGCUUUGCAUCUUCAUCCUCGACCCUGGGACCCGGGGAACAGGACGGCGGCGACAGCGGGCCGGCCGCGGGCGAGCGAGGCG